rnacentral:misc_RNA from 1 species
UUUCCGUAGGUGAACCUGCGGAAGGAUCAUUAUUGUAUAAUCGAGGUGCGAGGGCUGUCGCUGAUCCGAAAGGUCGUGCACGCCUGAGUGGCCUUACACAUAUCCAUCUCACCCCUAUGUGUUCUACUGUGUGUGUCUCUCUUAGGCCUGUUCGGAGUGGGGCUUACGAUUUCACCUAACCUCUGUAUGUAGCGUAGCAUGUAUUUUUUGUUUUUACGAAGAAGCUCUCAAUACAACUCUUAACAACGGCACUCUUGGCUCUCGCAUCCAUGAACAACC